rnacentral:rRNA from 1 species
CUACGGGUGGUAGCAGUAGGGAAUUUUGCGCAAUGGAGGCAACUCUGACGCAGCAACGCCAUGUGUGGGAUGACGCAUUUCGGUGUGUAAACCACUGUCAGUAGGGAAUAAAUGACAGAUUUAAUACGUCUGUUUUGAAGGUACCUACAAAGGAAGCCCCGGCUAACUUGUGCCAGCAGCCGCGGUAAUACGAGGGGGGCAAGUGUUGUUCGGAAUCACUGGGCGUAAAGGGAGCGUAGGUGGACCAGCAAGUCAGAUGUUUAAUCCCGGGGCCUAACCCCGGACUUGCACUUGAAACUGUUGGUCUUGAGUAAGUUAGAGGUAGACGGAAUUCUUGGUGUAGCGGUGGAAUGCGUAGAUAUCAAGAAGAACACCAGAGGCGAAGGCGGUCUACUGGGACAUUACUGACACUGAGGCUCGAAAGCGUGGGGAGCGAACAGGAUUAGAUACCCCGGUAGUC